rnacentral:rRNA from 1 species
AUGGACUUGGACUUCCCACUCUCCUCCGCCUCCGACGACGAUGGCGGCGACACACCGACACCACCUGGCCGCGCCAUCUGCCACGCCGGCUGCGGGCGCCCGUCCCGCGUCUGUCUCUGCCCGCACAUUCCCCGCUCCCCGCUCCACACAUCCACCACCGUCGUCGUCCUCCACCACCCCCACGCCCUCCACCGCAACCCGCUCUCCACCCUCCCCCUCCUCGCCCGCUGCCUCGCCAACCUCCACCUCCUCCCCGGAUGGCGCCUCCGCCCCUCCUCCACCCCACUCAUCCCCCCUCCCUCCCCGAACCCCGUCCUCCUCCUCUUCCCAUCACCCGCCGCCUCCGACCUCGCCUCCUGGUGCCGCUCCACGCCUCCCUCCGCGCGCUCCAACCCCAUCCUCCUCAUCCUCGAUGGCACCUGGAAGCAGGCCAAGGAGAUGCACGCCGCCAGCCUCCCGUUCCUCUCCUCGUUCGCCAUCCCCGUCUCCCUGCCCGUAGACAGCGGCGUGGACGGGGACAGCAUGUUCGAGUCGGAGCUCGUGGUGAAGAAGGAGCCGCAUAAGGGGUGCGUCAGCACAAUGGAGGCAGUCGCAAGGGCGCUGCGGCUGCUUGAGCCGGAGGGAAGCGGUGCGGAGAUCGAGGAGACGAUGGUCAGGGUUCUCAGGGCGAUGGUGGCCUUCCAGUCUGAGCAUUUGCAGCACCGUACCAUGAAGCCGAGAGUGAAGAUGAGAAAGAAGAAAGAUAUCAAGAGGGAGGAGGAGAUGAAGAGGAAUGCCUGA